AUCCAGCUGACGAGUCCCAACUGGGACGAAACGUGCAUCAAACUGGAU
rnacentral:hammerhead_ribozyme from 1 species